UGGGGAAUAUUACACAAUGGGCGCAAGCCUGAUGCAGCCAUGCCGCGUGUAUGAAGAAGGCCUUCGGGUUGUAAAGUACUUUCAGUCGGGAGGAAGGUGGUAAGGUUAAUAACCUUGGCAAUUGACGUUACCGACAGAAGAAGCACCGGCUAACUCCGUGCCAGCAGCCGCGGUAAUACGGAGGGUGCAAGCGUUAAUCGGAAUUACUGGGCGUAAAGCGCACGCAGGCGGUUGAUUGAGUCAGAUGUGAAAUCCCCGGGCUUAACCCGGGAAUUGCAUCUGAUACUGGUCAGCUAGAGUCUUGUAGAGGGGGGUAGAAUUCCAUGUGUAGCGGUGAAAUGCGUAGAGAUGUGGAGGAAUACCGGUGGCGAAGGCGGCCCCCUGGACAAAGACUGACGCUCAGGUGCGAAAGCGUGGGGAGCAAACAGG
rnacentral:rRNA from 1 species